rnacentral:lncRNA from 1 species
GCAAAAUUAAGAAGUAGAACUAAAGGUGAUAAGAGAGGAUCCAAAGUGAAAAGAAUUUACGUAAAAGGGUCAAAGUGAUGGUUGGGUAAGAAUGAUAAUACAUAUAACAGGCUAGGUAGAUUUAUGUUAUUUAGUGUCGAGUGAAUUGCACUUUUGAAUUUUUUUUCUAAUGAAAGUUUCAUGUUGGGUCAAAUAUUUUUUUUAUUCUAGUACAACUAAUGCAUCGACAAACUAGAGGGAGCUCCACCCCAUACACCUGUGUCGCCAGUCUUUUCUCCUUCGAUUUGACAAGAUCAAAUGGCAAUCAAACAAUUUCACCUCGCAGCGAGUGGCCCUAGCGCUGCCAGCCUACUGAUGUCGCGAGCACACGUCUCCGCCGUCGCGGCUGGUCGCUCUUGAGUCUUGCCUUUGCUGAAGCAGGGUGAAGAAAAUAGAUGUGAGAGGUGGUUAAGUUGAACUUCGAACAAAAGAUAAUAUGGUCCUUUGCUAUUCCCAACUACUGCUCAACCAUCGUUCCAAACGGUACAUGUGCUAUAAACCGAAUAAAAAACGAAUUGGUUGCGCUAUAAGCCAAACGAAAAUUAUUGUGCUAUUUUAUUUUUUUUUGAUACUAGCAUGUUUCUUAUGCUACAGAUGGAAAUUUCUCCAUAUUUGCUAGCUUUGGAGGUCAUCUUUUGGCUUAUUUAUGAUAAAAAAAAGAGAAACAACAUAUUUGCAAACAAAAAUAAAGCAAAGGCUGAAAAAUCCAAAGUCAAUUCUAAAUUUAAGUUUAAAAAUUUAAUUUUGGUUUAUAAGCAUAACCAUGCAUAAGCGAAAAAAUGAGCUUGCUUGCAUUCUGCUUAGUUGUUGCUACAAUUUCUUUUCUGUCAACAAGGAUAUUGUUGUUUCCCUUGCCCUAGAUAUUGGGAUAUUUAUCUUCGGUUUCCUCUUUGUUUUCAUGGUUACUGUUAUUUUCCUUACCGAAAGAUCGUAACGGCUCAUGUAUACAUAAACAAGUGUUAAGAUAAACGCCAUCCAUUUUCCUUGCAACUCCAUCCGGGGACACUUCUAGAGUUUCUUACACCUCAUGAAACCAAGGCUCUAUUUAGAGAGCUUAUAGUAGCUGACCUUAUCCCAGAAUCUCCAGAAAGUGAUCUCGGACGACCCCCUCCCGCCAUGUGGCAUCCAGCAUGCCUGUCGUGUGACAAGCCACCAUGCCCUACGAGUCACUGAUGGGUGGGCCCAUCCAUCAGUAUCGACCCUCCUAGCUAAGUCAUCCCUAGCUUUUAAUGCAUAAUAAAUAGUAAACACAGUUAAACUUCUAAAAUUUAUAAUUAAUUUAUAUGAAUUUUGUUUUAGUGCAUUAAAAAUUCAUUAAAUUCAUAUAAUGUCUAAGAAUCCAAAAAACUCAUCUUAGUACGAAGUAGUCGAUUGUCCUCUCACUAGCACCAACAGGAACACCACCACCAGAAAGAAGAUGCAUAGUAGUCAUGUGUUUGUGUUCCCUAAAAACUUGAUUGCCUAGGUACCCGUGCAGGUACUUAUGCGAACGGGGUUUUAGAGGCAUGUUCGUUUGGAAUGCUCAUGUGCAUAAGCAAACCAAAUCGGGGAGACAGAUAGCAGCAUAGUUGAACAAAAUGGUGGAUGUGGAAAAACUCUAGUUCAGAUCUAUUUUGAUGGAGAGGUGGAGAGGGUUAUGCUCUAGGAAUCUGAGGAGGCUCAAUCAACUCGUUAACUCCUCUCUACCAUUGCACAAUCCAAGGAGGCUCAAGAAAAUCGAAUGAUUAUGCCAUUAACACGAAUUCAUCAAUGCAUGCGUAUUCAAAUCGAGUUAACUCCACAAAACUUUAAGAUGUAAGCACACAUAUAUUCAAAUCGAGUUAACUCCUCUUUACCAUUUCACAAAACAUUAAGAUAUAGGCAAGCCAUGCUUUCGGACACAGUCUGGCCGGCUUGGCUCGGUGUACGUGCAUGCGUGGAUUUCCAUUUGUCCCCUUAGGCCUAUCCAUGAGUGCUCAUCAUGCAACCCUAUUUAAGUUGAAUCGAUUUCGUGUUAAUAUCACAUAAGGAAAUAUUCCACCUAGCAUUUAUUGUAGACCAAGUAUUUAAUAGGAUUAAUUUAGUCUAGUCCCAUUUAAUUCAAAUGGAGUAGAAGACGUGAGUUUGGCUAACAAAUGUGUCAUGUAAGGGUGGCGUGAGCCAAGGGCUUUAAAAACAAAGAACUCGUUGUUCAGAAGACAAUGUGAUGUAUUGAAUGAAAAGUUGUCUUAAAAUUACCCCUAAUUUCCUACAGUGUUCACACUAUUACAUCCACGAGAAGGAUACUACAUGGAGGAAAAAUUGAUCAUCGAAUCCGCUCAAAGUCUCAACCAAAUCUUACAGAACAGAAAAGACUUCUCCCAAGAUCCAACCUUCAGCUCAACCCGAACAAACAAGCAUAAAAGGGGAGACUCCAAAAUCGUUAACAAAUCCAAUCUUCCCUAGAUUUGAGCAAGUCUAUUCUUCAAUAUCUCCAAGGACACAAGCUCAGGAAACCUCCAAACAUCUAGAAGAGCAUAUAGAAAUAUCUAGAGAUAUUGAUAGGCAAUGGCGAAGAUAACCGGUGGUAAUGACCCAGGCUGAGGGAGACUUGACCUCGAGUUUGAUGAGGCAUCACUAGUUGUCAUCGCCGCACCCUCCAUCAUGCUGCGCUCACGUAGCUUCUCUGCCAUGGGCUCACUCGAAUCCACCUCACCAUCUCCAUCGAGGCCCCUACCCCACAGCCACAGGUCGUCGGCGUCAUCGGUCAGAAUGGUUGUGCGCAAGAAGAGGAUCAGAGCAAGGGAGAUGGCACUGGUGCUAGUCUUGUCUGGGGGAGAUGGCAACAAGCAAGCUAUCGGGUUC